ensembl:lncRNA
CUAGCAACUCCUCCUCCUCCCCCCCUCCUCUUCCUGUCUUGACCGGAAAACCCGCCUCCUCAUUUUAGCCCAGCAGUUGGCUAUUUGUCAUCUUUCUUAGCCAAUCAGAUAAUUAAGGGAAGUUCCUCUACUGAUGGGUAUUACAAAGGCUCCACAAAAAUGAGGGAAACUUUCUACCCCUGAGCCACCUCUGUAAGCCUAAUCUAUUUUGGGAAGGGUUAAGAUUAUUUAGGAAGGUCCAGUAGACUCUUUUCUGUGGUAAGAGAAAACCAGAAGCUACUGCGGGCUCGCUCAGCAAAGCUGGUUUGAGUCUCAGUUUCUGGACAGUCACCUCUACUCGAGGCUUCAUAAAGUUGAAUGCAGAGUCUCACAGAUUGGCAGCAGCUCUGCUUCAUUUGAUGAACGUGGAAUAUGGCGUAAGAGUGUUUCACCUGGAGGGAGGCAGGGCUGGAGAGAUGGCUCACAGGUUAAGAGCACUGGGCUGCUCUUCCAGACCACCAGGACUCCAUUUCCAGCACUCAUAUGGCUGUAACUCCAUUUCCGGGAGGAUCUAACGCCCCCUUCUGGCCUCGGCGGGUAUCAGCAGGGAUGUGGUGUGUAGACGUGCAUGCAGGCAAAAACACCCCAUACCCACAAAAGCAAGACAGAUUUACUCUCUUUCCUUCUCUUUUCCAUCAAUGGCCCCAAUAAAAUAUCCAAGACCGAAGACCCCGUCGGCCAAGCUCACUGUCCAAGAACAGCUGAAUCUGAUGAGAGAAGAAAGUAACCCCAAGCAUUCUUACGAACUUAACAUUUGUUGUCCCCUGAAUGUUGCUGAAUGUGUAUGUGUUGGGUGCCAGCACAAGCUUGCUAACUUUUCCUUCUCUCUUGCUUUGCUGGGUCUCCUGAGCCCUCAUUCAGUGCCUUUUCAGUUGUGUUGGGAGAUGAGGAUCCCAGGAUGCCAACACUGAACCUUGCCAAACCUACAGGAUGUCAGCUGCUAGGCAGGCGUUUUAGGCACAGUGACUUGUGCUCGCAGGGGGAGAAGCUACUACUGUCCUUCCAGGCUUUACUGUUCUUGAUCUUUGUGGGCUCGUUUCAAAUAAAGCUCCACCACCACUGGCCCUGUGAAAUGUAU